UGGGGAAUAUUGGACAAUGGGGGCAAGCCUGAUCCAGCCAUGCCGCGUGAGUGAAGAAGGCCUUCGGGUUGUAAAGCUCUUUUACCAGGGACGAUAAUGACGGUACCUGGAGAAUAAGCCCCGGCAAACUUCGUGCCAGCAGCCGCGGUAAUACGAAGGGGGCUAGCGUUGUUCGGAAUUACUGGGCGUAAAGCGCACGUAGGCGGAUUGUUAAGUCAGAGGUGAAAUCCCGGAGCUCAACUUCGGAACUGCCUUUGAUACUGGCAAUCUAGAGUCCGGAAGAGGUUAGUGGAAUUCCCAGUGUAGAGGUGAAAUUCGUAGAUAUUGGGAAGAACACCAGUGGCGAAGGCGGCUAACUGGUCCGGUACUGACGCUGAGGUGCGAAAGCGUGGGGAGCAAACAGGAUUAGAUACCCACGUAGUCCCUGAGCGGGCUGGCAAGGCGCAU
rnacentral:rRNA from 1 species